rnacentral:rRNA from 1 species
AGCAGCCGCGGUAAUACAGAGGGUGCAAGCGUUGUUCGGAAUUAUUGGGCGUAAAGAGCGCGUACGCGGUUUGCUAAGUCUGAUGUGAAAGCCCUGGGCUCAACCUGGGAAUUGCACUGGAUACUGGCGGGCUGGAGUACGGUAGAGGGUGGCGGAAUUCCUGGUGUAGCAGUGAAAUGCGUAGAUAUCAGGAGGAACAUCCGUGGCGAAGGCGGCCACCUGGACCAGUACUGACACUGAGGCACGAAAGCGUGGGGAGCAA